GUGAGGAAUAUUGCGCAAUGGAGGCAACUCUGACGCAGCCAUGCCGCGUGCAGGAAGAAGGCGCUACGCGUUGUAAACUGCUUUUAACCGGGAAGAAACCCCAGGACGUGUCCUGGGUUGACGGUACCGGAGGAAUAAGCACCGGCUAACUUCGUGCCAGCAGCCGCGGUAAUACGAAGGGUGCAAGCGUUAUCCGGAUUCAUUGGGUUUAAAGGGUGCGUAGGCGGAGCGUUAAGUCAGUGGUGAAAUCCUGCAGCUUAACUGUAGACUUGCCAUUGAUACUGGCGCUCUUGAGUGCGCUUGAAGUGGGCGGAAUGUGCCGUGUAGCGGUGAAAUGCUUAGAUAUGGCACAGAACACCAAUUGCGAAGGCAGCUCACUAAGGCGAUACCGACGCUGAGGCACGAAAGCGUGGGGAUCGAACAGGAUUAGAUACCCGAGUAGUCC
rnacentral:rRNA from 1 species